UACGGAGGGGGCAAGCGUUAUUCGGAAUUAUUGGGCGUAAAGGGCGCGUAGGCGGCUAGGUGUGUCAAAGGUGAAAUCCCUCGGCUCAACUGAGGAACUGCCUUUGAAACUGUCUGGCUUGAGGCCGGGAGAGGGUAGCGGAAUUCCCAGUGUAGCGGUGAAAUGCGUAGAUAUUGGGAGGAACACCAGUGGCGAAGGCGGCUACCUGGACCGGUUCUGACGCUGAGGCGCGAAAGCGUGGGUAGCAAACAGG
rnacentral:rRNA from 1 species